CUAACACAUGCAAGUCGAACGAAGCGAUUUGGAAGAAGUUUUCGGAUGGAAUCCAAAUUGACUGGGUGGCGGACGGGUGAGUAACGCGUGGGUAACCUGCCUCACACUGGGGGACAACAGCUGGAAACGGCUGCUAAUACCGCAUAAGCGCACAGCUUCGCAUGAAGCAGUGUGAAAAACUCCGGUGGUGUGAGAUGGACCCGCGUCUGAUUAGCUAGUUGGUAAGGUAACGGCUUACCAAGGCGACGAUCAGUAGCCGACCUGAGAGGGUGACCGGCCACAUUGGAACUGAGACACGGCCCAAACUCCUACGGGAGGCAGCAGUGGGGAAUAUUGCACAAUGGGGGAAACCCUGAUGCAGCGACGCCGCGUGAGUGAAGAAGUAUUUCGGUAUGUAAAGCUUUAUCAGCAGGGAAGAAAAUGACGGUACCUGACUAAGAAGCCCCGGCUAACUACGUGCCAGCAGCCGCGGUAAUACAUAGGGGGCAAGCGUUAUCCGGAUUUACUGGGUGUAAAGGGAGCGUAGACGGCGAAGCAAGUCUGAAGUGAAAGCCCGGGGCUCAACCGCGGGACUGCUUUGGAAACUGUUUUGCUAGAGUGCUGGAGAGGUAAGUGGAAUUCCUAGUGUAGCGGUGAAAUGCGUAGAUAUUAGG
rnacentral:rRNA from 1 species